rnacentral:rRNA from 1 species
UACGUAGGGUGCAAGCGUUGUCCGGAAUUAUUGGGCGUAAAGAGCUCGUAGGCGGUCUGUCGCGUCUGCUGUGAAAAACUCGGGGCUUAACCCCGGGCCUGCAGUGGGUACGGGCAGACUAGAGUGCGGUAGGGGAGACUGGAAUUCCUGGUGUAGCGGUGAAAUGCGCAGAUAUCAGGAGGAACACCGGUGGCGAAGGCGGGUCUCUGGGCCGAUACUGACGCUGAGGAGCGAAAGCGUGGGGAGCGAACAGG